GAAAAAUNACAAAUGGAUAGGGUAGGUUGCUUAUAGCUAGUGCGUGGCCUCUGCUCAUGGAAGGUAUUGUGCACGCAUCGACUUCAUUCCUUUCUUCAUUUACACACCUGCUGAACUUGCUUGUAGGGUUGCUCUCGCAAGCAGACGCUCUAUGUCUUUCUCAUAUACUCCAUAAUGUUUAUAGAAUGUACCUUUUUGCUCUCGUCAGAGACAAAAAUAAAGCCUUUAUAACUUUCAACAACGGAUCUCUUGGCUCUCGCAUCGAUGAAGAACGCAGCGAAUUGCGAUAUGUAAUGUGAAUUGCAGAUUUUCAGUGAAUCAUCGAAUCUUUGAACGCACCUUGCGCUCCUUGGUAUUCCGAGGAGCAUGCCUGUUUGAGUGUCAUUAAAUUCUCAACUCUCUUUGAUUUCUUCAAAGGCGAGCUUGGAUCUUGGAGGCUUUGCCGGCUGUGAAGUCGGCUCCUCUGAAAAGCAUUGGUAAAGACGUAUUGCAUGCCUCUGUAAUGGAGGUGUGUGCUGGCCUCUGUAAUGGAGGUUGGUAUCAGGUCGGCCUUUCGGUGUGAUAAUGAUCACCGUGGCUAGCUGGCUAUUAAUGUCUAUGCCUUACUUGCUACUUUUUCCAUUGACUUGAGAAAAAAGCACUUUGACCAUUUUGACCUCAAAUCAGGUAGGACUACCCGCUGAACUUAAAGCAUAUCACUAAGCCGGAGGAAA
rnacentral:rRNA from 1 species